CCUACGGGUGGCAGCAGUGGGGAAUAUUGGGCAAUGGGCGCAAGCCUGACCCAGCAACGCCGCGUGAAGGAAGAAGGCUUUCGGGUUGUAAACUUCUUUUAUGGGGGACGAACAAAUGACGGUACCUCAGGAAUAAGCCACGGCUAACUACGUGCCAGCAGCCGCGGUAAUACGUAGGUGGCAAGCGUUAUCCGGAUUUAUUGGGUGUAAAGGGCGUGCAGGCGGGAAUGCAAGUCAGAUGUGAAAACCCGGGGCUCAACCCUGAGCCUGCAUUUGAAACUGUGUUUCUUGAGUGCUGGAGAGGCAAUCGGAAUUCCGUGUGUAGCGGUGAAAUGCGUAGAUAUACGGAGGAACACCAGUGGCGAAGGCGGAUUGCUGGACAGUAACUGACGCUGAGGCGCGAAAGCGUGGGGAGCAAACAGGAUUAGAUACCCUUGUAGUC
rnacentral:rRNA from 1 species